rnacentral:rRNA from 1 species
CCAGGCUCGAAAUGCAGAUGACGUCACCAGAAAUGGUGAUUUUCGCAAGAACAACUGCAUAGGUGCUGCAUGGCUGUCGUCAGCUCGUGCCGUGAGGUGUUGGGUUAAGUCCCGCAACGAGCGCAACCCUUAUCAUUAGUUGCCAACACGUAAUGGUGGGAACUCUAAUGAGACUGCCUAGGUUAACUAGGAGGAAGGUGAGGAUGACGUCAAGUCCGCAUGGCCUUUAUGUCUGGGGCUACACACGUGCUACAAUGGUCGGUACAGAAGGCAGCGAAGUCGUAAGAUGGAGCAAAUCCCUAAAGCCGGCCUCAGUUCAGAUUGUGGUCUGCAACUCGACCACAUGAAGUUGGAAUUGCUAGUAAUGACGAGUCAGCAACAUCGUCGUGAAUACGUUCCC